AACCUAGCACACCUGCGGUGUGUACCUGCGGAAGGAUCAUUAUAGUAUAUGGAAUCUCCAUUCUAUAAACCCACUCUGCGUAUCUUGUAACUGUUGCUUCCAUGGGACUUGGUUCCGCCACACCGGCUUCACGGCUGGUGAGCGCCCAUGGAAGGAGAAACAAAACUCUUCUUUGAAAUGUAGUCAGUCUGAACAAGUUUUUAUAAACGUUAAAACUUUCAGCAAUGGAUCUCAGAUCGG
rnacentral:misc_RNA from 1 species